UACAAAUGAUGUAUUUUCUCACGAUGGUCUUCCAAGCCCACAGGUUUUGACGACAAUGCCUAAAGGCGAUGCUGAUGUAGUAUU